GGAGUUUGGACCGUGUCUCAGUUCCAAUGUGGGGGACCUUCCUCUCAGAACCCCUACUGAUCGCAGGCUCGGUGGGCCGUUACCCCGCCGACAACCUAAUCAGACGCAUCCCCAUCCCAUAGCGAUGAAUCUUUGCUCCAACUUAGAUGCCUGCAUUGGAGAACAUAGGGAAUUAAUCCGACUUUCGCCGGGCUAUCCUCUAGUAAGGGGAAGGUUGGAUACGCGUUACUCACCCGUGCGCCGGUCGCCAUCAAAGGAAGCAAGCUUCCUUCAUGCUGCCCCACGACUUGCAUGUGUUAAGCCUGUAGCUAGCGUUCAUC
rnacentral:rRNA from 1 species